rnacentral:pre_miRNA from 1 species
UAUGUCACUGGAAAUAGUAGAAAUUUGCCAAAGUAGUGUGUUAAUUAACUUUCAGUCUAUUUGGCCAAUUUCUACUUUUUCCAGCGACUCC